rnacentral:rRNA from 1 species
CCUACGGGUGGCAGCAGUGGGGAAUAUUGCACAAUGGGGGAAACCCUGAUGCAGCGACGCCGCGUGAGUGAAGAAGUAUUUCGGUACGUAAAGCUCUAUCAGCAGGGAAGAAAAUGACGGUACCUGACUAAGAAGCACCGGCUAACUACGUGCCAGCAGCCGCGGUAAUACGUAGGGUGCAAGCGUUAGCCGGAUUUACUGGGUGUAAAGGGAGCGUAGACGGCAGCGCAAGUCUGGGGUGAAAUCCCAUGGCUUAACCAUGGAACUGCUUUGGAAACUGUGCAGCUAGAGUGCAGGAGAGGUAAGCGGAAUUCCUAGUGUAGCAGUGAAAUGCGUAGAUAUUAGGAGGAACACCAGUGGCGAAGGCGGCUUACUGGACUGUAACUGACGUUGAGGCUCGAAAGCGUGGGGAGCAAACAGGAUUAGAUACCCGGGUAGUC